CAUUAGUAUGAUAGUGAAAGACCCCCGAAGGGAGACCCUCACUCAAGCCUCGGGACAGCCGCGGACCCAAGAAGACACUGAGACCG
rnacentral:pre_miRNA from 7 species